AACGAACGUUAGCGGCGCGCCUAACACAUGCAAGUCGUGCGAGAAAGGGCUUCGGCCCCAGUAAAGCGGCGCACGGGUGAGUAACACGUAGGUCAUCUCCCCUCGAGUGGUGGAUAACUCUCCGAAAGGAGAGCUAAUACAGCAUAAGACCACAGCCUCGCUGAGGCAGCGGUCAAAGCAGGCCACUACAUGUAAGCUUGCGCUUGAGGAUGAGCCUGCGGCCCAUCAGCUAGUUGGUAGGGUAAUGGCCUACCAAGGCUAAGACGGGUA
rnacentral:rRNA from 1 species